rnacentral:tRNA from 1 species
UGGGUUGUGGCUCAGUGGUAAAGUGCUUACCUAGCAUGUAUGAGGCACUGGGUUCGAUUCCUAGCACCACGU